rnacentral:rRNA from 1 species
GACGAACGCGGGGGGCGUGCUUAACACAUGCAAGUCGAACGAUGAAGCCAGCUUGCUAGGUGGAUAAGUGGCGAACGGGUGAGUAAUACGUGAGUGACCUACCUUUGACUCUGGGAUAAGCCUGGGAAACUGGGUCUAAUACGGAUACGACCAAUCUCCGCAUGGGGUGUUGGUGGAAAGCGUUAUGGAGUGGUUUAGAUGGGCUCACGGCCUAUCAGCUUGUUGGUGAGGUAAUGGCUUACCAAGGCGACGACGGGUAGCCGGCCUGAGAGGGUGACCGGCCACACUGGGACUGAGACACGGCCCAGACUCCUACGGGAGGCAGCAGUGGGGAAUAUUGCACAAUGGGCGCAAGCCUGAUGCAGCGACGCCGCGUGAGGGAUGACGGCCUUCGGGUUGUAAACCUCUGUUAGCAUCGAAGAAGCGAAAGUGACGGUAG